GACGAACGCUGGCGGCGUGCCUAAUACAUGCAAGUAGAACGCUGAAGGAGGAGCUUGCUUCUCUGGAUGAGUUGCGAACGGGUGAGUAACGCGUAGGUAACCUGCCUGGUAGCGGGGGAUAACUAUUGGAAACGAUAGCUAAUACCGCAUAAUAUUGAUUAUUGCAUGAUAGUCAAUUAAAAGGUGCAAUUGCACCACUACCAGAUGGACCUGCGUUGUAUUAGCUAGUUGGUGAGGUAACGGCUCACCAAGGCGACGAUACAUAGCCGACCUGAGAGGGUGAUCGGCCACACUGGGACUGAGACACGGCCCAGACUCCUACGGGAGGCAGCAGUAGGGAAUCUUCGGCAAUGGACGGAAGUCUGACCGAGCAACGCCGCGUGAGUGAAGAAGGUUUUCGGAUCGUAAAGCUCUGUUGUAAGAGAAGAACGAGUGUGAGAGUGGAAAGUUCACACUGUGACGGUAUCUUACCAGAAAGGACGG
rnacentral:rRNA from 1 species